rnacentral:rRNA from 1 species
UACAGAGGUGGCAAGCGUUGUUCGGAAUUACUGGGCGUAAAGGGCGCGUAGGCGGCCUUCUAAGUCAGACGUGAAAUCCCCCGGCUUAACCUGGGAACUGCGUCUGAUACUGGAAGGCUUGAGUGCGGGAGAGGGAUGUGGAAUUCCAGGUGUAGCGGUGAAAUGCGUAGAUAUCGGGAGGAACACCAGUGGCGAAAGCGGCCGGCUGGACCUGUUCUGACGCUGAGGCGCGAAAGCGUGGGGAGCGAACCGG